AGAAAACUUUGCAAUGUGCGAAAGCACGACAAGGUUAAUCCGAGUGGUUUCUGCUAAAGAAACCUUUUGUUAGUCCUAGAAACACUAGUGAAUAAGGGGUGGGCAAGUUCUGGUGUCAGCCGCCGCGGUAAAACCAGCACCUCAAGUGGUCAGGAUGAUUAUUGGGCCUAAAGCAUCCGUAGCUCGUUUUGUAAGUUUUCGGUUAAAUCCAUGCGCUUAACGUAUGGGCUGCCGGGAAUACUGCAUAACUAGGAAGUGGGAGAGGUAGACGGUACUCGGUAGGAAGGGGUAAAAUCCUUUGAUCUAUUGAUGACCACCUGUGGCGAAGGCGGUCUACCAGAACACGUUCGACGGUGAGGGAUGAAAGCUGGGGGAGCAAACCGGAUUAGAUACCCGGGUAGUCCCAGCUGUAAACUAUGCAAACUCAGUGAUGCAUUGGCUUGUGGCCAAUGCAGUGCUGCAGGGAAGCCGUUAAGUUUGCCGCCUGGGAAGUACGUACGCAAGUAUGAAACUUAAAGGAAUUGGCGGGGGAGCACCACAAGGGGUGAAGCCUGCGGUUCAAUUGGAGUCAACGCCAGAAAUCUUACCCGGAGAGACAGCAGAAUGAAGGUCAAGCUGAAGACUUUACCAGACAAGCUGAGAGGUGGUGCAUGGCCGUCGCCAGCUCGUGCCGUGAGAUGUCCUGUUAAGUCAGGUAACGAGCGAGAUCCCUGCCUCUAGUUGCCACCAUUACUCUCAGGAGUAGUGGGGCGAAUUAGCGGGACCGCCGCAGUUAAUGCGGAGGAAGGAAGGGGCCACGGCAGGUCAGUAUGCCCCGAAACUCUGGGGCCACACGCGGGCUGCAAUGGUAGUGACAAUUGGUUCCGAAUCCGAAAGGAGGAGGUAAUCCCUAAACGCUACCACAGUUAUGACUGAGGGCUGCAACUCGCCCUCACGAAUAUGGAAUCCCUAGUAACUGCGUGUCAUUAUCGCGCGGUGAAUACGUCCCUGCUCC
rnacentral:rRNA from 1 species